rnacentral:misc_RNA from 1 species
AGGCCACUCGCUGUUUGGCCGUGUCACCGCCUUCUCCUUUGCUUGAUCGCUCUCGUAUUCGGGUGGUUUUGUAGUAUCGUAGCAGUAGCCUGUCCUUUCCUUUACUCCGUUCUCCUUGGCCUGUCUCCCACGCGGCACUUGCCAAAGAACAGCAACACACGCACGCAUCAUGCUCCGCCUCGUGUCUGCAAGCCUUUCUCUGGCGACGGCGUCCGCCUCGUCGGUGCGCUUCCAGUCCAGUUCCGCCAUGCCUGCCAUGAACCAAAACCGGCGCAGCCAGAACCGCCGCAACUUUAUCUCUACGAACUCGCUGCCCAAGUUCGAGAUACACGACGUGCGCGAUGACCCGGAGCACGGGAGUAUGACCCGUGUGUCGGUAGACGGCAAGCAGCUGCUUGUUUCUCAGUUCCCGCAACUCGGCCCUCGCAAGGCGGACCCGAACGACACGACCCCGCAGUUUGACCGGGGCCGUCGUAUCUCGAUGCGCUUCCGUCAUAUUGACCUUGCCGGCUUCGUCAGCGUCGUCGAGAACCGCAUCCCGAGCCACCACGUCAAGAACAACGCUUUCGAAAUGGCGUUUGAGAAGACGACGAACGGCUACGUGUUGAAGGGCCAGGUGCACCGAAGCAACUCGCAGGCCAAUGAGGAGUGGGCGGUUCGCUUCGAGAAUCAGUUUGCCGUAACGAUGGAGCACUUCCUCGAGAGCGCGCUGACGGAGAGCUUCGGGUUCGCCCAGCACCAGCGGGCCCUGGCGCGGGGGGACAGUCCACCGAGCGACAGCCCCCAAAACAACCAGGACCGCAACAGAAACCAAAACCGCAAUCAAAGCCGUCGUCGUAACAACAACAGCAACGCCGAAAACCAAGAGAGCUGAGCAAUUGAUGCCUGCGAGCAAGUCGCCUCUAUGCACGCCUCCGUGCGUGUGCGUGCGUACCGACAGAGGGAGACAAGGGAGAGGCGGAUAGCAGUGAUGGCGCCGUGUGGAGGUUUGGCCGGUUGGAAUAGGUUGAUUGAGCCCCUCUUCCCUCAUGUGUGCCAACCCGGUGAAACGGCGCCGUGGUACCUCAUCAAGCAGGUGCGCGCGUGCCGUGCAUCGACUGUGUGGUGCCCACCAUGCAAUCAAGCAUAGUGUUUACAGAUGUACGUCUCUUACGAGUACGUGCGUGGCUGUUGCGGAGAAGGAGUGGAGAGAGGGGGGUGUGCUCGCAAGCCACCGUGCGCUGGACGGCAUUGAGAAUAUGAACAGUUACAUGCCGCAGAGCUUCACGAAAGCCGUAUCGACCCCACUGUGUUGUGGGGUGCGAGAAAGGUGGGGAUUUGUGAUCGUGCAAAGGUAAGCCGGAAAAAGAUGGCCGCUGCCUUGAUUGGGAAAAACGCGUGCCGAUGUACGCGAAUGCAAUGCAGACGGAAAC